GAGGGCGUUCACAUGUAAAGGUCAAUAUUUCAGUUACUUAUCACUCAUUUAGCUGAGCUCGUUAUCACAGCCAUCACAGUAGAUAAGUCAAAUAGUAUUAAUAAAUUUCUUUACUUACUUUAAAUUUUUAUAUUAAGAAGCUUCACAUAGUUAGGCUUGAGUCAGAGAAAGGAGAUCUAGGAGUCAAAAGUCAAUCUUCCUAUCUGAUGGAUGGGAUGGAGAUAUAGAUAUAUCCGUAUCAUCGAAUGAGA
rnacentral:lncRNA from 1 species